rnacentral:rRNA from 1 species
GUAGUCAUAUGCUUGUCUCAAAGAUUAAGCCAUGCAUGUCUAAGUAUAAGCAAUUAUACCGUGAAACUGCGAAUGGCUCAUUAAAUCAGUUAUCGUUUAUUUGAUAAUACCUUACUACUUGGAUAACCGUGGUAAUUCUAGAGCUAAUACAUGCUGAAAAUCCCGACUUCGGAAGGGAUGUGUUUAUUAGAUAAAAAACCAAUGCCCUUCGGGGCUUUUUGGUGAUUCAUGAUAACUUUACGGAUCGCAUAGCCUUGCGCUGGCGACGGUUCAUUCAAAUUUCUGCCCUAUCAACUUUCGAUGGUAAGGUAUUGGCUUACCAUGGUUUCAACGGGUAACGGGGAAUA